UACGAAGGGGGCUAGCGUUGCUCGGAAUUACUGGGCGUAAAGGGAGCGUAGGCGGAUAGUUUAGUCAGAGGUGAAAUCCCGGGGCUCAACCUCGGAACUGCCCUUGAUACUGGCUAUCUUGAGUAUGGGAGAGGUGUGUGGAACUCCGAGUGUAGAGGUGAAAUUCGUAGAUAUUCGCAAGAACACCAGUGGCGAAGGCGGCUCACUGGCCCGGACUGACGCUGAGACGCGAAAGCGUGGGGAGCAAACAGGG
rnacentral:rRNA from 1 species